rnacentral:rRNA from 1 species
UACGGAGGGGGCUAGCGUUGUUCGGAAUUACUGGGCGUAAAGAGCUCGUAGGCGGUCUGUCGCGUCGGCUGUGAAAACCCGGAGCUCAACUCCGGGCCUGCAGUCGAUACGGGCAAACUAGAGUACUGCAGGGGAGACUGGAAUUCCUGGUGUAGCGGUGAAAUGCGCAGAUAUCAGGAGGAACACCGGUGGCGAAGGCGGGUCUCUGGGCAGUAACUGACGCUGAGGAGCGAAAGCGUGGGGAGCGAACAGG